rfam:Morus notabilis contig16870, whole genome shotgun sequence.
GGCCGGUGAUGUGAUUAAAAUAUUUGCUACUCUUGAUGGGACUCUCAUCCCAUCUGAUGAUUCUUAUCCACCAAGAUCUCUGAGGCU